CAGCAGCCACGGUAAAACGUAGGGUGCAAGCGUUAAUCGGAAUUACUGGGCGUAAAGCAUGCGCAGGCGGUUUUGUAAGACAGAGGUGAAAUCCCCGGGCUCAACCUGGGAACUGCCUUUGUGACUGCAAGGCUAGAGUACGGCAGAGGGGGAUGGAAUUCCGCGUGUAGCAGUGAAAUGCGUAGAUAUGCGGAGGAACACCGAUGGCGAAGGCAAUCCCCUGGGCCUGUACUGACGCUCAUGCACGAAAGCGUGGGGAGCAAACAGGAUUAGAUACCCGUGUAGUCCCUGUCUCUUAUAC
rnacentral:rRNA from 1 species